UGGUCGUAUGUGUGGCGCCAUUUACUUGAACCUUUAGGAGUGACAUCACAUAUACGGCAGCU
rnacentral:pre_miRNA from 1 species